CAAACAGCAGCCUCCACCCGCCACCCCAGGAACCUCGUGCUUCUAGGUUACCCUGAUGGGCAGGACCCACUCCCAUCACUAAGAGAACAUCAAAAGGGCAGGUGUGGGGGUGGAUAGGAAGAUCAGGAUCUCUGAAAGGAAAUUUGCAUUGUGGUAACCUACAGACUCCACCUGGACCCAUGAUUCAUGACUCAACCAGUCCACCCAGAAGCUGACUCAGAGCAUAAGGAGCAUUUUCCACACCCCUAGGAUUUCAUCUCCAACCAAUCAGCAUUCCCCAUUCUCUAGCCCCUGUCCACCAAACUAUUCUUUAAAAACCUUAGCUCUAAGCUUUAUUUAUUUAUUUAAGUAAUACACUCCUGUCUUCCACUUAGCUGGUUCUGUAUUUAUUAAACUCUUUCUCUACUGCCAUACCGCUAUCUCAGUAAAUUAG
rnacentral:lncRNA from 10 species